rnacentral:misc_RNA from 1 species
UCGGGCAUCAAGGCCCCAUCGAGCGUGGUUCGC